AGGCUCCCAAAGAAAAACUCCAGGGAGGGGGCUGGGGGUUGGGGGCUUAAGAAUAUACACUGCUCUUGUAGAGGAUCCACAUACAGUUCCCAACACCCCACACAUGGACAUACCUACACAUAGUCUCACACACAUACAUACACACAUGUAAAUAAAAUAAAAUAAAUCCAAAGUCAUGACAAAAUGUCUCAAGGCAUUCUGUUUACACUGUCACUCCAUGUGUUGAAUGGAAUUCCAAACUUCCUCUUAGGAAUAGUCAUUAUCUCAUGAGCAACAUUAAUAAGUGAGACAGUAGACAAGACAACAUUUUCUCUUGUGAGAGGAAAAGGCCAGAUGACCUGGAUUCCAGUGACAUUCCUGCACAACACACACACACACACACACACACACACACACACACACACACCAAGUGUACUGUCUGGAAACGUUUGACAGUGUAGGCAUGCUUUGUACUUGCUUCAGAAGUUGGGCAGAACUGGCAGUCUCAAGUUCAAGAUCAAGUUCAAGUUCAUAUUCAUGUCUUAUAAAGUGUGAUUUGGAUACCCAAAUAGCACCAGGAGGGAGCGAGCCUCGUAGGAGUGUGUACAGGACUGUGAAUGCAGGUAGGAUCACCACUGCUGCUCAGAGGAACCUGCCCAGAACCCUCAGGACACAGGAACUGAGGGGCGGCCUGGGAUGGGAGCCUCCCAGUAUCCAUCUUCUCCCAGAGCUGAUCUUGUGCCACAGAGCUACAUAUACAAAUACUGCCAGGAGAGAGCUGGUCUCCCAGAAGUGCCUACACACCUGCGAGCACAGGUAAGACCACGACUUCUCUUCAAAUUCCUGGCCCAAGACGGACACUCCUAGAGCCAUUAGGACACAGGAAUCAAGGAUCAGAUGAGGACAGGAUCCUUCUGGUCUCUGUCUACACCCCAGAGCUGACCCUGUACUACAUCUCUCCAUACCCAAAUUCCUCCCGGAAAGAACUGGUCUCCUAGGAGUACUGACACACAGGCUUGCAGAAGGGACAAGCCAAAGUCAGAGACAGCAAGACCAGCUAACACCAGAGAUAACCAGAUGGGGAAAGGCAAGCACAAAAACGUAAGCAACAGAAACCAAGACUACUUGGCAUCAUCAGAACCCAGUUCUCCCACCACAGCUAACCCUGGUUACCCCAACACACCAGAAAAGCGAGAUUCUGAUUUAAAAUUACAUCUUAUGAUGGUGGUAGAGGAAUUUAAGAAGGACAUAAAUCACUCCCUUAAAGAAAUACAGGAAAACACAACCAAAUAGGCAAAGGAAACUGAAGAAAACCAUCCAGGAUCUAAAAAUGGAAAUAGAAACAGUAAAGAAAUCACAAGGGAGACAACACUGGAGAUAGAAAACCUAGG
rnacentral:lncRNA from 1 species